GUCCGUCUGACGUGACCGAGUGUUUUUUUUCCAUUGAAAAAUCCAUUUUCACGGUUAAACAUCAAAGAUUAAAAGAGGGAAUUUGGUGUUUUCCAGCCAGAAAGUGACAACUCCACGAUCCCGUCACGGACCCCCGGCACAGAUGACCCCUGCAUUGCCUCGCGGCAAUGGAAAAAAAAGCAGCCGAAAUGCUCUGGCGUUCGUGUGUGCAGCGAUCUGAUGUGCAGACCACACGAAAAGAAGAAAUCGAUAAGAGAAAGCAGGUGAUGCAGAUGUCAGGUAUCAUGGGGACAUUUCUGUGGCCGAGCAGAGCUGCUGCACAACGGGAGAGGAAAUGGCACAAAUAUACAGAAAUGUCCCCCGAGUCAAAAUGUUUAAGCAUAAUAAUGAGACACACACACACAUUUUUCUGAUUGUGAAAUCGUUGGCACUUACCAUGGCGGCGGGGGCGGGGGGGGUCAUCCACACACAAGGGCGUCAAUUGAAAUGCAGGCGCACAAAAAAAAAAAAGAAGAAGACAUUUUCAGUGCACGGCGAGAAAGCAAAAAGGAGUCUUAAAAUUGAACUCGCACAAAAAGAAAAGGAAUUUGGAUUUCGUUUGGAGGCCAGAUUCUAACAGGUCGCGCUGAAGAGAGCAGAGUGGACGGUGGCCUCGGGGACAGACAGGACACAGUGUGUCCUCACUGGUCAGUGGAGACUCACUGAUAGAUAUGUUUUUGCUGGCGUGGGUUAUAUUUUUACUCGGAGCUGACAGACAGCCCCCAUGCACACAGGUGCUAUUCAAAGAAACUGUGUAAAAGUGACGUCACGCAGAAGAAUCUAGCCCACAGACGCUUUUUAACACUCCAGAGCUCCGCCCACUACAUGU